UGGGGAAUUUUGGACAAUGGGCGCAAGCCUGAUCCAGCCAUGCCGCGUGAGUGAAGAAGGCCUGGGUUGUAAAGCUCUUUCGGCCGGGAAGAAAUCGUGUUCUCUAACAUAGGACAUGGAUGACGGUACCGGACUAAGAAGCACCGGCUAACUACGUGCC
rnacentral:rRNA from 1 species